CUACAGUUUGGUUAACUUGACAUAAAUUGAAUUAUUUUAAUUUACAUUUCAAAAUUCAAGAGGAGCUUAGUGAAAACCCUGGCCCUACAGCAUAAUUUCCAUCACUGAAACAGCAACAUUGGAUACAAAAACCACUUUGUCAAGUACUACUUUGGGAUAAAGAUUUUUCACUGCGUUUCUGCAGAGUUAUUGGGAAUGUAAG